rnacentral:rRNA from 1 species
GAUGAACGCUCGCUACAGGCUUAACACAUGCAAGUCGAGGGGAAACGAUGAGAGAGCUUGCUCUCUUAGGCGUCGACCGGCGCACGGGUGAGUAACGCGUAUCCAACCUACCCAUUACAGGGGGAUAACCUUGCGAAAGUAAGACUAAUACCCCAUGGCAUUUUAUGGUGGCAUCAUUAUAGGAUUAAAGAUUUAUUGGUAAUGGAUGGGGAUGCGUCUGAUUAGCUUGUUGGCGGGGUAACGGCCCACCAAGGCAACGAUCAGUAGGGGUUCUGAGAGGAAGGUCCCCCACAUUGGAACUGAGACACGGUCCAAACUCCUACGGGAGGCAGCAGUGAGGAAUAUUGGUCAAUGGGCGAGAGCUUGAACCAGCCAAGUAGCGUGCAGGAUGACGGCCCUAUGGGUUGUAAACUGCUUUUAUAGGGGAAUAAAGUGAGCUACGUGUAGUUUAUUGCAUGUACCCUAUGAAUAAGAACCGGCUAAUUCCGUG